GAGUAAUGUCUGGGAAGCUGCCUGCUUGAGGGGGAUAGCGGAGCGAAAGUUCCGAUAAUACCGCGUAAGCCCGAGAGGGGAAAGUGCGGGACCGCAAGGCCGCACGCGAGCAGAUGCGCCCAGAUGGGAUUAGGCAGUUGGGGAGGUAACGGCUCACCAAACCGAUGAUCUCUAGCUGGUUUGAGAGGACAAUCAGCCACAUUGGAAUUGAGAAACGGACCAAACUCCUACGGGAGGCAGCAGUGGGGAAUAUUGCACAAUGGGGGAAACCCUGAUGCAGCCAUGCCGCGUGUGUGAAGAAGGCCUUCGGGUUGUAAAGCACUUUUGCAUUCGAGGAAGACAGCGUAUAAAUAAAUGCGCUAUUUGACGUUAGAGUGUGAAUAAGCACCGGCAAACUCCGUGCCAGCAGCCGCGGUAAUACGGAGGGUGCGAGCGUUAAUCGGAAUGACUGGGCGUAAAGGGCGCGCAGGUGGCGAGAUAAGUUGGAUGUGAAAUUCCCGUGCUUAACAUGGGGACUGCAUCCAAAACUGUUGAACUGGAGUACUGUAGAGGGAGGUAGAAUUCCACGUGUAGCGGUGAAAUGCGUAGAGAUGUG
rnacentral:rRNA from 1 species